rnacentral:rRNA from 1 species
AUUGAACGCUAGCGGGAUGCUUUACACAUGCAAGUCGAACGGCAGCGCGGACUUCGGUCUGGCGGCGAGUGGCGAACGGGUGAGUAAUGUAUCGGAACGUGCCCAGUAGCGGGGGAUAACUACGCGAAAGCGUAGCUAAUACCGCAUACGCCCUACGGGGGAAAGCAGGGGAUCGUAAGACCUUGCACUAUUGGAGCGGCCGAUAUCGGAUUAGCUAGUUGGUGAGGUAACGGCUCACCAAGGCGACGAUCCGUAGCUGGUUUGAGAGGACGACCAGCCACACUGGGACUGAGACACGGCCCAGACUCCUACGGGAGGCAGCAGUGGGGAAUUUUGGACAAUGGGGGCAACCCCGAUCCAGCCAUCCCGCGUGUGCGAUGAAGGCCUUCGGGUUGUAAAGCACUUUUGGCAGGAAAGAAACGUCGCGGGCUAAUACCCCGUGGAACUGACGGUACCUGCAGAAUAAGCACCGGCUAACUACGUG